CGUCUACUUCCGGUCUUUGACGUAGCGCCGCGUCUGCUUCCGCUCACUGCCGUAGCACUUUCUUUCCUUCUUUUCUGCGUGGGAGGAGGCUUGGCAAGGUCCUCUCCGGAGUUCGGAUGUUUGAGCGGCAGUGUGGCGAGGUUUCGCGCUGCGGGUCCUGAGCCGUUUCGUUGUUAGCGCUCAGGUCGCCUUGCCGGGCGGCUGAAAGCGCGGACAAACUGGAAGGUAGACGCACCGCUCAUCGCUGCUUUACUCAGGCCGAGAAAAGCUGAGUUCAUAGUUGCUGGUGAACUGAGCUGGAACUUGUUAGUGCAGCAGGUGUUUAUUGGAGAAGUAAUUCACAAGGAAGUGAAGAUGAGUAAGAGCAAAGAUGAUGCACCUCAUGAGCUAGAGAGCCAGUUUAUCUUACGGUUGCCCCCAGAAUAUGCCGCUACUGUGAGGAGGGCAGUGCAGUCUGGGCACGUCAACCUGAAAGAUAGACUGAGCAUUGAGUUACACCCUGAUGGGCGUCAUGGGAUUGUCAGAGUGGAUAGAGUGCCCCUGGCUGCAAAAUUGGUAGAUUUGCCGUGUGUUACGGAGAGCUUGAAAACCAUUGAUAAAAAAACCUUUUACAAGACAGCUGAUAUCUCUCAGAUGCUUGUAGCCACAGUAGAUGGUGAUCUAUACCCUCCUGUGGAGGAGCCAGCUGCUACUGCUGAUCCCAAAGCAAACAAGAAAAAAGAUAAGGACAAAGAGAAAAAAUUUGUUUGGAACCAUGGAAUUACUCUACCUCUAAAAAAUGUCAGAAAGAGAAGGUUCCGGAAGACAGCAAAGAAGAAGUACAUUGAAUCUCCAGAUGUGGAAAAAGAAGUAAAGCGGCUGCUGAGUACAGAUGCAGAAGCUGUCAGUACUCGUUGGGAGAUAAUUGCUGAAGAUGAAACAAAGGAGGCAGAAAAUCAAGGCCUUGAUAUCUCCUCUCCUGGAAUGUCUGGCCACAGGCAGGGCCAUGACUCACUAGAGCAUGAUGAGCUUCGAGAGAUAUUCAAUGACCUCAGCAGCAGCAGCGAAGAUGAAGAAGAUGUAAACAUCAUUGACACUGAAGAGGAUCUGGAGAGACAGCUACAGGACAAGCUAAAUGAGUCAGAUGAACAACACCAAGAAAAUGAAGGAACCAAUCAGUUGGUUAUGGGGAUUCAGAAGCAGAUUGAUAAUAUGAAAGGCAAGCUUCAAGAAACCCAAGACAGAGCAAAGCGCCAGGAGGAUCUCAUCAUGAAGGUAGAAAACCUGGCUCUGAAGAACAGGUUUCAAGCUGUUCUGGAUGAGCUCAAACAGAAGGAAGACCGGGAAAAGGAGCAGCUUAGCUCUUUGCAAGAAGAGCUGGAAUCACUUCUGGAGAAGUGAAAAGGUUGACUUUAGUCCUUAGACUAGUCAGCUUAAGAAGAAUUUAUUUUCAGAGUGAGGUCUUGAAAAAUUCUUCUUUUUUCUUUGAAAUAUUCUUAUUUCCUGUAAUGCUAGGAGUUAUUGUGUUGAUUGUUUUCACUCUUAAGAAAAUAGGAUUACAUAGGCAGAUUUGUUGUAGUGUAAGGUUAGUGAAGUGACAACACUGAGCUUUUAAUCACUUCACCAUAGGACUUUAUUACAAUUUGUUUCCUAAGUUUCUAGUCCUAUUCUUCGGUGCUAAGAUCAGUAAGAAGCUAGCUAGCCUACAGGCAAUGGAGUGUUUUUUUUUUUUUUUUUUGUUUUUUUUUUAAGAAAUAUAUUUUUUUACCUUCUCAGCAAGUUUCCAUGUUACAGAAAUGCAAGUUUUUUCAUAAAAGUUGUUUUUUGCACAAUAAAAGUUACUAAUUUUCACUUUGCUUAUCUUGUUCUUCAAUGAAUACUGAAAGUUGAGGUGAGCUCAUGGAGUUUAAUGGCUGAGUGGUAUAGAUCAAGAUACAUGCUGUUGUUUUGCCUUUUUAGAAAAGGAAUACACCAGAUAAGGAAAUGGAGAAAUUCAUCUUUGCAUUAUAGAUUAUGGUUCAGGCCUACCUACACCAUCUGGAGGUUUGUGAACACUCGGUCCAGAGCCUUCUUAAACUAUCCUACUUUUCAUUGAAGGAUAUCUGUCUAUAUCUUUUUAUUAAACACUAAAGUUAUCUAUAAAAUACUGGAAGCAGUUAAACAGUUAUCAGAUGAACUAUUCCACUUGCUUAGAUUAAGAUUAUAUUCUUAACUGUUGCCAUUUUAAUUGCUAUGCUUUUUUAAUAGGCAUGUUUGUUCAUGUUAUUUCAUUAGUAUUUGCCACUAUGAAAGCCUGUUACCAGGUCUGGUAUUUUAAAAUUUCAUACAUAGAAUUUUUCUCUGAGGCAUUUAAUGUUUUAUGGAUGGGAGGGGUGUUUUUGGGGAAAAACCAAGAUUGGUAAGGUGCAUAGUUAAAAAUUAAUUUCUGUCUGAUUUGUUUGUAAAACUUCACUUUAAAAGUACUUGCUUCAUAAAUCAAAGUUCAGAUUUUGUUAGAAAACAGUAGUGAAGUGUUCAAAAUGAGUUAUUAAGACUGAAUUCAGGAUCAAGCCUCUUAAUGCUUAGACGCUUCAGAAUGUACUUUUCCUUGCGUUUUCACAAGCACGUGACUGCAAUGCAGCUUAAAGAUUCCCUUAAUAUCUGGCUCUAGAGUGUUAGAGUCAUAAAGUAUGUGUUCUUAACAAAGUGGCAGGUGAAAAAUUCUAAGUAUAUUUAAGAUAUUUUCACCACACUUAAAGAACUGACACCAGAGGAAGAUACAGUAUUUAACCAAAGAGUUUUUACUAUGAUGUUGGUACAGGUGCUACCGAAAUACCAUCAAUAUUGGAAGGAUGUUGGAUGCACAUUUUUUCUUAACAGAAUAUUCUACUGGUGUGGUCUUGGUUCAGUUAUUAGCUCUACUUGGAUUUUCAAAUCCAUAAUUUAAAGACUAACAUGAACUUCAGAUUUAGUAUAUUCAACUGUGUCCUGGAAAUACUAAAAAGCUGCCCCCUGGCAUGCCAAGUAUGAAUUCAAAAUGGAAGUCAUCUGGCUCCUUUCAUUGAGAGCUUGCCUUCUGUUUUGCUGUUGACAGCUGCCAGAGCAUCUGAAGCUCCAACCUAGUCUUAACAGCUUGAGGUCAAGGCAUACCAGUACAUAUCCUAGAUCAGUGAUUUGAUUGUGUGAGUUUUGGGCCAUGUAAUUUGUAGCUUAAUCUGUCUGCUUCGAUUUUCUUCUCUGAAAUGGAGUCGAUAGUAUUACCAGCCUUACAGGGAUAUCAGACUGACUUAAAUCAUAAGACAGGCGUACUUAGAAUAGUACCUGGAAUAAUGAUAAGUGAACAGUGAACAAAGAAAUGUUACCACAUACUAGAGUAGAUCAUAAAAGGCAUUAAAUGGUCUUGAAUUUGAGAGUGACGGAGGUGAUAGUAAGAAAUUUUUAAUUUUGAUUCACUAUAUAUCUCAGGAUGGCCUUGAACUUGGUUCUCUUGUCUCGGUCAAGUGUGGAGACUGUAGGUGUGCAUGGUCAGGCCUGGCUUAGCAAACAGCUGUUUUAAUUAGGUUUUGUUUCAAAUUCAACAAAGACUCAAACCUUAUAUUUUGGAAAGUUUAUUUAGAUUAUCUACAGCAUAAAAAUUGACUUAGUUUAUUCCUGUAGCUUUCCUGUUUGUUUCUGGACAUUUUUGUAUUAAUAUUAAAAAUGGCAUAGUGAUUAUCUGUAACAUAAAAUUUAAAAGAUGAUAAAGAUUGAGAUCCACAUCCUGCAGUCUCAUGAAAGAUUCACUUUUCUCAUGCACCUCUUAGCUAAGGAGUAUAGUAUAGAGAUGAACAUUCAGUGUUUCUGGGUUUAUUUGCAAAUUGUGCUCUGUGUGUGUGUGUGUGUGUGUGUGUGUGUGUGUGCGCGCGCGCGCGCGUGCGCGCGUGUGUGCGCGUGCGUGUGCGUGUGUGUUGGGGUGCUGGGCCUUGGGAAUGCUAGGCGAUUGCUCUGUCACUGAGCUGCAUAUAGAUCUUAUCACAUUUUAAGAGGUGUCAUCUCAUGCCUUUAUUUGGUGUGUACAAAACACUUAUGUAGUUUUUUAAUGCAAAAAAUAAUGAUUUUGUUAUGUAGACACUUUAUAGACUUUUCUAAAAAUAUGAACAGUUUUAUCAACAUGUGAAUCUGUAUUUUUUUCCUAAUAGUUUUUUCCAUUGUUAUUCACUACUGAUGGUAAUUAGCUGUAAGGAAAGGAACUCAUUAUAGUCUGUGCUCAGAGUUCUUGAUACCUAAGAUCGUUAUCUUUUGAAGCCAUCUCUCAGAGCAUAGAAAAUUUAUUUUUCUAUAUAAAUUGGAUCAAUGGAGGCUCCAACUCAAAAUGCACAGAUUAAGCGGGAAUGAGGUGAACAGCAGCUGAAAAGGAUUUGUGUGCAAGCUUAUGUAUUUACUCUAGGGACCCUGUUAAAUCAGUGUUCAGGCAUACAGAUUUGAGAUUAGAUGAUUAGGUUCUGGAGAGAUGACCCCGGGUUAGGUUUGCACACAUGGUGCCUUACAACUAAUUUUAAGUCCAAUUCCAGGGUAUUCAACCUUGUUGUGAUUUCCAUGGUACAUAUACAUGCAAAUUGGUAAAAAUCUUUUUAAAAAUCUUAGAAUAUUAUCUCUAAAGAAAAGUUAGAGAAAAGAAUUCCAAUGUCAGCAUUGGACAUUUUCCAAAGAAAAGGCCAUCUGCUCAAGAAAGAAAGCCUACCUCUUACCAUGCACACUCUUGAGUUUUAAUGUCUCACUGUUGUUUUGAGGCAGGGUCUCUGUGGUUAGGCCUUAUGGGACUGUCCCUGUAGAUUAGGCUGGCCUUGAGUUGAGAAAUCUGCUGGUCUCUGCUUGGGAUUAAAAGCAGGUGCCAGUGCACCAGCCUAAAGCCUUACUUUUAAACAUAGUCCAGGAAAGUGAAUGAAAGAAACGUUUCAGUACCCUGGCCCCAGAUUUGGUUACACCUCCAAAGUAGUGUUUCUGCAGAACUUCAACUCCUGCCUUACCUGCCCUGGAGAAAAGCACCUGCUGUGGGAUGUUUUAUUUCGUACCAGGGACUCAAAUGUAGCAGUUCCCAAGUUUGUCUUCUCUAUUGAUUAUCCAUUUUUUGAGGCAGAGUUUCAAUAUAUAUCGCUGGCUGGCCUCAAACUCUCUGCUCUCUGCUUCUUGAAUGCUGGAGUUAAAGGCCCCUAGAAUGGCCUGUCAUUUCUUUGAAAGCACUGUUCUGGAAAGUUGUGCUCUUAACAUCCAGGUUGGAUCAACUGAGAGCACCUCCUGUGCCAUAUUGCAUGGUAAGAAAUCAGGAAAACGAGCCCAAUUUGGCUGUGGUACUGAGGGUGAAACAGCUGUGGUUCACCGAGCUGCAGUAAAGCGUUUCCUCCCAGGUAUUUAUGGGAGAAAUGGCGGUUACCACAACCACUGAAAGCAUUCUGCCAUUGCCCUCGGGGACAGUAGGGUGCUCGUGGAUGCACGUGCUUGGGGGUUAUUCCCCAGCGGCCAGAGAGUGCGGUGGCCCAAGGCUUUGGCUUUAUCUUUGACAAGGAGACAGGUCCGCAGUGGGGACCAUGGGCGCCUACAGAGACUUGGCUUCUGGCGACACCCUCGGGAGUGUGGAGGAACAUGAAAUCCACCCUGCCAUCCAAGCCGCCAUAGACCUCACUGCCGGCGCAGCAGGGGCCGCAGCGUGUGUGCUGACCGGGCAGCCCUUCGACACCGUAAAAGUAAAGAUGCAGACAUUUCCCUACAUGUACAAAGGCCUCGCUGACUGUUUCCUAAAGACAUACAACCAAGUGAGCACCAACACAUUUAUGCUGAUUUCUAAGAAGAGAUUGUACCUGUGUACCAGCAUGGCUUCCGCAUUCGAGUAAAAUUUCAUAAUAGGCAUCCUGGAUUUUUUAUGCUGUCCUUAGUGUGGUUAAAGUAUAGUUAGUUAUAUUCUACCAGCACUGGUAUUGUUAGGUGGGGCAAUGAGUAUCAGAGAAGACUUUGGGAAGCUGUGUGGUCUUUACCUGCAUUAUUUCCUCAUUCUUCUCUUCCAAAGGUGUCAGGCUUUAGAUUGAGGAAGGAGCUAAAGGGAUGGGAUUAUAUAUUGUGCUUUGAUGAUCCAUGUAGAUGGAGAGAAUUCUAAUAACUCCUUGCCUCUGGGUACUGGCCUGGACAGGAAUUCACAGUGUUGGGUUGGUUCACUUUAGGUCUCUCAUCGUUCUCCAUACCAUCACCCAUUUCCCCAGGAAACAAAGUAAAGAAGGCAAGAGUAGGUUUGGUUCUGUUCGGUGACAGAGUAAGAGUCCUGCUAGAUGAAGUCAUCACUUAGGCAGGACUAGUGUGCACUUAGUAGUACAUCACAGUAAGCAAUGUGAAAGGGGUGACUUAACCCCUGAAGUUCACCUUGGGUCCAUAACUGCUUCAGUGUGGUCAGUGUUUUAGUUUUCUAAAUUUGGUUCUGGUGGUCAGUGAACCUUAAAUGACUGGAUUUACAAUAUAAAACAAUGGACCAUAAGAAAAGCCAUUUUACUAAACUCUACGUAUGCAUAUAAGCACAGACUAUCUCCCAAUAAAACUCCCAAACACACCAAAAUGAGAUGAGUCCCCUUCCCCAAAUUAAAAUUCAGUUUACCUCCAACAGACCUGGAAUUAAGCAGAUGUUCAUGGACCAUAUGAUUUUAGAGUCAUUCUUUAUACCAAUAAAGUAAGCUUCGUCUGUGUUGCUACAAGAUCAACAGGGUCUUUUCAAUAACAGGUGUUGAUACCUAUGGAGCUGAAAGAAGGUGAGGUACCAGUUUAAUAGUAUGUGUGCCCUGUGCCAGGCCUUUAACUUCCUUUUUAAAACCCACUAAGCCAAACUAUAGUUCCAGAUGCAAGAUUCAAGUUAAUUAGAAGAUGACAAAGAAGCCCUGCUGGGGAUAGUUAGCAAGAUGUCUCUCAAUAUUACACACAGUCUGCUUAGGAUCUAUAGUUGUUUUUUUUUUUUUUUCCCAUAUAUUUUUUUCUAUCUGAAGCCAUUUGCUAGUUUAAUUAUAAGUUGUUUCUGUGUGUAAGUUCUGUGCACCACACUUUAUGGUCAGUGUAGUCCUCCAGCAUAUAGCAUCUAUGAGCUGGCCUGGAAGCUCUCCUUUCAGCACACUUGCUUCUCACAUACUAUACAUUAAACGUUUAAAUGCCUUCAGUAGAAAUCAUAUGAAGCAAGCAAGAGUGAAUGUGAGUAGAAGGAAAUAGUCACACUUUUCCGGUUUAAUUAACCCUUGGUUUAACUUUUGGGUACAUUUUGUAUCCUUUCAGAUCUCUAGGUUAGACAGCAGUUAAGAUAUGAACAGUGGAAGUGGCUGGGGUCAAGCUCUGUUGUUUAAUCUUAGCUCUGGGGCGGGACAGGAAACCUGGGCUCGCUGAAACGCAGUUAGGAGACCAGGUCAUGCAAUUUUGUGACUAGGUCUUAUGACCUGGUCUUGUGACCAAUAUUAUGGGAAAUCCUGGUUUGAGCAGUUAAUCUAUAUGAGAUCAACCUUCCACCAAUCAAAAGGAAGGAUGUGACCAUGUGACAUAGGAAAUGUUUUACCACAACUGGAGAUCCUAUCCUCAGAACUUCACUGGUCUGUGAGAGCAAAUAUUUACUCUUAAUAAACUUCACUUUAUUCUAAUGAA